rnacentral:tRNA from 1 species
UGGCUGAGCGGUAAAGCGCUUGACUUCUAAACGGGGGUCCUGGGUUCGAAUCCUGG